rnacentral:misc_RNA from 1 species
CGGAGUUCAGUCUUCCCAGGCCCACCACGCUUCGCCGUCGGCUUCGCAUGGCACCGCCAGGCAGAACGACGAGGCGAAGCGCGUCCGGCAUAGCCCGAAGGGCGACGCCGGACAGAAAGAGCGCUUCGUCUUCUGGUUACGGGGCCAUAGCUCAGCUGGGAGAGCGCGUGCUUUGCAAGCAUGAGGUCGUCGGUUCGAUCCCGUCUGGCUCCACCAGAUGGUUUGAUCACCGAGAUCUUGACCGUCGUCCGCGAAACAUCACUUCGCAUCCUGCUAGUCUGGAUAGACAGCAAGUUGCGUGUUUUCUGACAUCGUAAAGAGGAGAUCGAUCCGAGUUGGAUCGUGCAACAUAUCGUUGCGCGAGCCUUCAUUAUCUCCGGAUCAUUUCGGCGCUCGCUUCCAGCCGUGAGGUUGGAUGCGGGUUGUAAAUGAUCCUUUUAGCGAAGCUUGACCGCCUCGCUAUCGGAACGAUCUUACGAAGCAAGCUGGUCUUUCUAGUCAAUGUCCGGCUGUACGUAGCAUUCAUCGAGGGUGCGCGCCCGAGAUUUCGGUCUCUUGGCAAUCGUACAGACAACAUUCUGCCGAGUGUGUGGACAUUGAUAAUGAGAGCAAUCAAGUGCCUUAAGGGUGUUCGGUGGAUGCCUUGGCGCUGAGAGGCGAUGAAGGACGUGCUACGCUGCGAUAAGCCGUGGGGAGCUGCGAAGAAGCUUUGAUCCGCGGAUUUCCGAAUGGGGAAAA